rnacentral:ribozyme from 1 species
GAAAAAUGAGAGAAAGAGAAUGGAAUCACACCAUGCUUGUAUAACCUUUCGCGCUUUCUCCCUUUUUUUCUUUUCUUCUUCCUCUUCUUCUCUUC